rnacentral:lncRNA from 1 species
UGCUCUUUGAUGGCCAGCUGCUUCUGUUAACUUAUCCAGUGAGGUGUCUGAUUUCAGGGAGUGGGGUGGUCUCAGUUGGGGUGAGGGCCCUGGGUGACUUUGAGAUAGUCCCACCCCACCCAUCAUGCCUUUCAGUGCACUGUGAGGGAGAAGACUUAGGAAAUCAGGCUGGCAAGAGGCCUAGGCCAGUGUAGCCAGGGUUUUGAUCUGGGAGGCCAAGGAAGGGCUGAGAGUUGCUGUUAGAGAAGAUGGCCACCAGAUGGCACCAGAGCACCAGAGUGCCCCCCUCUUGCCCCUGGAGCUAUGCGCCUUCACCUUCAAGACUUGAGAUGGGUCCUUGGUCCAGUGGGCCAAUGGCUAGAGAGUUCGACAGGCUAACUUGGUCAGAGUCCCCUUGAUGGUUUGGAGGCACAACCCUGGACCUAGAAAUACCUGGCCUGGAUUUUAGCCCUAAAACUUGCUAGAGUCAGGCUGGUCCAUGUAGAAUUGUACCCCUAGAAAGGUGGCCUUCCGGUUGUGAAUGCACUGUGUCAGUACAGGGGUUUCUCUAGAGAGAGAUCUCCUCAAGCUUUUUCUUCCCUCCCACUUGAUGCUCUCCCUCCUCGGCCAGACACCUGCUGCAGGGAAGCUACCUCAAGCCAGGGUGUGGCUUGAGUCCUGGCUGAGUCUAAGAUUGUCAUGCUCUAGCCCGUCGUGUGUUGCUGUAUGCCGAGAUGGAGGGCAGCAAGGAAGCCACCACGGACACUGCCCCAGGCCACCGCAGCGCAGAGGUUGGCUGUUGGAGGCUGAGUCAGUGUCCGAGUUGCUGUUGGAGCACAUUCUGGUCAAAGAGCCCUAGGAACCCAAGGGGCCUCCUCUCCUUCAGGCUGAAAUACAUGGCUGCUGCUGGGGUGGGGGGACCCCAUGGCAGUGCUCCGUGCUGAGCUGUGGUUGCUGGGCACCUCUUCUUAUCUGGCCAUUUUUUUUUCACCUCAUCGUAUCCACAUAAAUCUGUGAUCACAUCUUUAUUUCAAAUUCAGCAUGCUUAUCUGGGAAAAUGGCCAGAAACUUGGCAGACUCUCUGGGCUCCGUUUGAGGGGACAGGCACGUCCCUGGCUUGAAUCCCGAAUGGGCGGUUUUCUGAAACCAGGCUGACACCCCCUCCUCUCCUGCUGUGUGUUCAGUUCUCUGAGAGGAAGAGGACGAUGACACUGGUCCAUGCCCAAGACCAGCGCUUAAAACGACAAGCCCAAUGUUUAACACGGUUGUUUCUGGGCCCAAAGGUCUGCCUCUGGAGAAACACGGCAAGCUGGCCCAUGGAACAUGUCACACUCUUGCACCCGGGGCACCUGAUCAGGC